CGGGACGGGUGAGUAACGCGUGGGUAACCGUGCCUUGUACAGGGGGAUAACAGUUGGAAACGGCUGCUAAUACCGCAUAAGCGCACGGCAUCGCAUGAUGCAGUGUGAAAAACUCCGGUGGUAUAAGAUGACCCGCGUUGGAUUAGCUAGUUGGUGAGGUAACGGCCCACCAAGGCGACGAUCCAUAGCCGACCUGAGAGGGUGACCGGCCACAUUGGGACUGAGACACGGCCCAA
rnacentral:rRNA from 1 species